GUGAAAUGGCGUCGAUGAAAUUGGAUUAAUUUCCUAAUUUUCUCUCGAAUUCUCUGCAGCAUUUCGGUGAAAUGGCGUCGAUGAAAUUGGAUUAAUUUCCUAAUUUUCUCUCGAAUUCUCUGCAGCAUUUCGGUGAAAUGGCGUCGAUGAAAUUGGAUUAAUUUCCUAAUUUUCUCUCGAAUUCUCUGCAGAAUUUCGGUGAAAUGGACUACUGAAAUUUCAGUAUUUGUGAAAUUUUAGUUUCAUCGAGUAGGUGAAAUGGCUUAGAAGGAAUUGGAUUAAUUUCCUAAUUUCUCUCGAAUUCUCCGCAACAUUUUGUAUGUUGGGGCUUUCAGAAGGUGUUAUGGAACCAAUUUUGUGCAUUUAUGGAACCAAGUUACUGGUAGCAGGAUUCUUGGUUACACACAGUUGUCGGAAUCUGACCGCUCUUUUGUGGAAUUUGAGAAAUUGGGGUUUCAAGAAUGGAAGGCGGGACUUAAUAAUUAAAGUCUCGAAAUGCAUAUCGAUUUUUUUGUGGGAGUUGAUUGGAUGGAUGACUGAAGAAGUUGUUAUUGUGAUCUACGAGUUCAUACUAAGAGGUGAAAUGGCGUCGAUGAAAUUGGAUUAAUUUCCUAAUUUUCUCUCGAAUUCUCUGCAGCAUUUCGGUGAAAUGGACUACUGGAAUUUCAGUAUUUGUGAAAUUUUAGUUUCAUCCAGUAGGUGAAAUGGCGUAGAAGAAAUUGGAUUAAUUUCCUAAUUUCUCUCGAAUUCUCCGCAACAUUUCGUUAUGGAACCAAGUUACUGUUAGCAGGAUCUUGGAUACACACAGUUGUCUGAAUUUGGCCGCUCUUUUGUGCAAGUUUCAGGAAAGGUUGCAUGAUAGGCAAAGGUGGCCCUGAAAAUGCUAGUGGCACCUACAAGGGUGUUCACCAUCAUACAUGGAAGAAUGGGUUGCUAAAAUCCAUGAGCCUAACUAUGGCCCUCACCUUUGCCUUGUUCAGAUAAACUCUACCGAUAGAAUUGGAGACGCGUAUAACAACUCAAUCUAAUAGUUCUUAUAUACCACGUGACUGUUUUGAUCAUCGUUAUGAACGUUGAAGGACAAAGAAGAAUAGCUUGAGAAGAUGUUAGGGCAUUAUAUUGCCGAUGGGAACGAUAAAAGAGGUAUAUAGGGCAUGAAUCUAUGAUAAUGAAAUAUCUUACUUACUCUUUUUCCUUCUUAAUUUUCGAUUAUCAUUUAAUCCUAUUUGUUCCACUAUAAAUAGGAAUUACAUAUUGGAAUCAUUUGUUUUUACAUCAGCUGCAUAAUCAUUUACUCCUUUGUUAUGUUUACUUCUAUAUUUUCUUCUUCUGUAUACCUGGAUUUGCUGCAUUUGAGUCGAGGGUCUUUCGGAAACAUCUUUUCUUCCUCCACGAGGUAGUGGCAAGGUUUACGUACACUCUACCCUUCUUAGGCCACACUUGUGGGAUUUCAUUGGGUAUGCAUCCUCUCCUUCUAUUGAUAUUAGAGUGAGAAGGUGUAAUGGCGUAGAUGAAAUUGGAUUAAUUUUCUAAGUUCCUCUCGAAUUCUCCGCAGCAUUUCGGUGAAAUGGACUACAGAAAUUUCACUACUGAAAUUUGAGAAAUUUUAGUUUCAUCGAGUAUGUGAAAUGAUGUAGAAGAAAUUGGAUUAAUUUCCUAAUUUCUCUCGAAUUCUCCGCAGCAUUUCGUAUGUUGGGGCUUUCAGAAGGUGUUAUGGAACCAAUUUUGUGCAUUUGUGGAACCAAGUCACUGUUAGCAGGAUUCUUGGAUACACACAGUUGUCUGAACCUGGCCGCUCUUUUGUGGACAAAGACGAAUAGCUUGAGAAGAUGUUAGGGCAUUGUUGAUGGAAAAGAUAAAAGAGUAUAUUGGUGCUUUCAGAAGGUGUUAUGGAACCAAUUUUGUGCAGUUAUGGAACCAAGUUACUGUUAGCAGGAUUCUUGGAUACGCAGUUGUCUGAAUCUGGCCGCUCUUUUGUGUUCAGACAAACUCUACUGAUAGAAUUGGAGACACGUAUAACAACUCAAUCUAAUAGUUCUUAUAUACCACGUGGCUGUUUUGAUCAUCGUUGUGAACAUUGAAGGACAAAGAAGAAUAGCUUGAGAAGAUGUUAGGGCAUUGCUGCUGGACAAGAUAAAAGAGGAAUUUGAGAAAUUGGGGUUUCAAGAAUGGAAGGUGAGACUAAAUAAUUAAAGUCUCCAAAAGCAUAUCGAUUUUUUUUGUUGGAGUUGAUUGGAAGGAUGACUGAAGAAGUUGUUAUUGUGAUCUGCGAGUUCAUACUAAGAGUUCAGACAAACUCUACCGAUAGACUUGGAGACGUGUAUAACGAAUCAAUCUCAUAGUUCUUAUAUACCAUGUGAGUGUUUUGCUCAUCGCUAUGAACGUUGAAGGAUAAAGAAGAAUAGCUUGAGAAGAUGUUAGGGCAUUGCUGAUGGACAAGAUAAAAGAGGUAUAUAGGGCAUGAAUCUAUGAUAAUGAAAUAUCGUACUUCGCUCUUUUUCCUCCUCUUAACUUUUGAUUCCUGUUUUACUACAUCAGCUGAUUAUCAUUUAUUCAUAUUUGUUGCACAAUUGAGUUAAUGUCAUUGCAUUCAGAGUCGCUAAAGCUUUUAAAUGUUGGGUAUGUGUUCGGACUAUUCCUAUCUAGCUUUUAAAAAUGUCACAUUUUAAGAGAGAAUCACCCAAGCAACUUUUUUUUUAAAAGUAAUUGUAUAUUG